UGAGAAUGGCAGCUGGAGGUUGGAGAACGUUCCUUGCAUAAUGAAAGCAACCCUUACGGAUCCAGCUGAGCUUCCAGGUCAGCAGAGAUCCCAGACUGAAAGAGCAGCAGCUACCUCGGGGAGAGUGGGAGUUCUUCUCAUGAUAAUGACAGAAGUAUAAGAAGGAUCUCUGUGUUGUGUUUCUGUGACCGCCGGCUGUGAGAUGGUAUACCUUCCGAGCAGAUAGAUGAGAGAAGAAGCUUGUCCUAUAGGAAUCCAUCUCCUGUCUACCCUGGAGAGCCUCAUCCAUCACUUGUCUUUGCAGACACCCAGCUGAUGCAUGCUCAGCAAGGAGACACCCUCGAUUGAGUUUGUGAAAGGUCCCUUUACUAAGAUGGAAGCAUUGAGUCUACAGUCUUGAAUCUCUCUAAGAUAC